ensembl:lncRNA
CAAAGGAGGUUUGAGAGCAGCCCGGCCUCAAGUGCCCCUCGGGAUCCCCGAGUGCCCCCUGGGGACCCCAGUCUGCUCCCCCGUUCCCUCAGAGUUGUCCCGGAAUCCAAGUCCAAGCUCUCUAGAGCCCCAAAUGUCGCCCCAGGCCCCUACGUGCCUCCCAAUUACCUCCCCUUCCCCGGUGUUCCCCUAUAGCGCCUCGGGGACCUCCAACUCGAUGCCACCAGAUCCCAGUCUGCCCAUAAGUGCGUCCCGCAGUCGCUCAAAUUCCUCCCGAGACCACCAGCCCCGCGGGGGGCAGUGCAGGGUCAGCAUUUCGGGGGCCCUCGCCCCAUCCCCAACCCUCUCCUCCCCCCCAGCCAGGCCCUGCUCUGGCCCCGCCCCCGCAGGCCAGAGAGGGCGAAGCCUCCGCUUGGCUCAGCCCCCUGCAGCUCCACCCUCGAUGACCCCCUCGAACGAUGGCGCUUGAGGCGGUGCCGUGGGGAGGAGACAGCGCUGGACACGCCCCUGGUAGGCGGGGCCUUGCUUGGCUCUGCUGCUCCCCAGGGUGCCCUACCGGGAGUGCCACAGGGGCUGUCACGUGACCCGCCGGGGGGCCUGCAGGGGGCCGUGCCCUGGGAAUCACGUGACUUCCCUGAGGCCCUUUGGCCAAUCAGGAGACACUUCCGCGAGCACCAGGUGGCGCCUUCACCCCAGGCCAUCUCCCAGGAACCCUUAUGGCAGGAGCCCUGUUGGAGGUCACAGGUCUCCCACAAGGCCCUCUGGCCAAUGAGGAGCAGUUCUCCGGAUACCCUGCUGGGGGCACUAUACUCACAGUCCCGUGAUGCCCACGAGGCCUCGUGGCAAAUCAGCAGCAGCUGCUGUGCAUCUCUGCACCAGGGGGCGCCACCCGGUGGAAAGCGAGGGUCCCACGAACCUUUGCGGCAGGAGCCAUUUUGGGGGUCACAUGACUGCCUCGGGCAUCUGCAGUGUGUGCCCUGGUGGGAAUCACGUGACUCCCAGGGUGCCCCGCCAUCUGCACCAGAGGCGCUUCCGGAGCCCCUUCGCCGGGGAGGGCUGGGCUUCAGGUCACGUGACCCGUGUGAGGCCCCUCAGCCAAUCAGGAGCAGUGCUCAUGAUGCCUUACAGGAGGCGCCGUUGCAGGAGCCACUGGGUGAGGCACCAGAGGAGCCCUUGUGGGCAAGGGAGUCACUUGAGGGCUGGUGGGCAUUUGUGGGCCAGGCGGGGUCACUGGUGGGGGCACUGGUGGGGGUGGAGGUGUCCUUGUGGGCCACGGGGGUCAUUUGUGGGCCAGGAGCGGGAACUUGUGGGGAUGGGGGGAACAGCUGUGGGCCAGGGGUCACUUGAGGGGCUGAAGGGGCAGUUGUGGGUUAGGGAGGCACUUCUGGCUCAGGAAGUCCCUUGUGGUGCUCGGGGAACACUUGUGGGACUGUCACCCCCUGUGACAUGUAGCCCCCCCAGGCCCUCUGGGGGACCACCUCCUCUGGAUGCUGCGAUGCCACCGCCGGGCGAUAAGCGGACGCCUUCGGGCCAUCGAGACCCUCCUGGAAUGCCCACCUGGGCACUCCCAACCCAUGGUGGGGCCAAUAAAGCAGUAACACCCCAAAAUUGCAGCAGGGAGGUGUGGAGACCUCCCAAAUCCCCUCCCUUACCUCCCCCACUUUUGGGAUUGCCCCCAGUCUCCUGUCUCCCAUAAGUCCCCAGGAGCAUUUAGAGGACUCUGGGGUCUCAAAAGAGGGUGUUGCCGGGGUGCUGGGUGUCCCCAGGGGGUCCGUGAGGGUCUGUGGGGUGUUUGGAGGGGCUCUGGGGCUGCAGAAAGGGUUUGGGGGGUGUAUGGGGAGCACUGGAAAUCGUGAGUGGUUGGGGGGGGGCACUGGGUGUCUAUCGAGGGUCCAGAAGAGGGCCCCCGAUAGUCUGUGGGAUCUGGGAGGGGGGGAACUCUAGGGGUGUUGGGAUGGGUCUGUGGAAGAUGUUGGGAGUCCAGGAAAGGGUUUGGGGGACCCAGGAAAGGUUGGGGGAGGGGGGGGGCGUUCGUGGUGUUAAGAAUAAUAUGUU